rnacentral:rRNA from 1 species
AUUGAACGCUGGCGGCAGGCCUAACACAUGCAAGUCGAACGCGUGGCGGACGGGUGAGUAAUGUCUGGGAAACUGCCUGAUGGAGGGGGAUAACUACUGGAAACGGUAGCUAAUACCGCAUACCAUCAGAUGUGCCCAGAUGGGCGUCGCUUGUUGGUGGGGUAACGGGUCACCAAGGCGACGAUCCCUAGCUGGUGUGAGAGGAUGACCAGCCACACUGGAACUGAGACACGGGCAAGACUCCGACGGGAGGCAGCAGUGGGGAAUAUUGCACAAUGGGCGCAAGCCUGAUGCAGCCAUGCCGCGUGUAUGAAGAAGGCCUUCGGGUUGUAAAGUACUUUCAGCGGGGAGGCGGUACCCGCAGAAGAAGCACCGGCUAACUCCGUGCCAGCAGCCGCGGUAAUUC